rnacentral:rRNA from 1 species
AUUGAACGCUGGCGGCAUGCCUAACACAUGCAAGUCGAACGGCAGCACAGCCGUAGCAAUACGGUGGGUGGCGAGUGGCGGACGGGUGAGGAAUGCAUCGGAAUCUGCCCGGUCGUGGGGGAUAACGCAUCGAAAGGUGCGCUAAUACCGCAUGAGAUCGAGAGAUGAAAGCGGGGGACCGCAAGGCCUCGCGCGAUCGGAUGAGCCAAUGCCGGAUUAGCUAGUUGGCGGGGUAAAGGCCCACCAAGGCGACGAUCCGUAGCUGGUCUGAGAGGAUGAUCAGCCACACUGGGAAUGAGACACGGCCCAGACUCCGACGGGAGGCAGCAGUGGGGAAUAUUGGACAAUGGGCGCAAGCCUGAUCCAGCAAUGCCGCGUGUGUGAAGAAGGCCUUCGGGUUGUAAAGCACUUUUAUCGGGAGCGAAAAGCGGCCGGUGAAUACCCGUCCGUGCUGACGGUACCCGAGGAAUAAGCACCGGCUAACUUCGUGCCAGCAGCCGCCGUAAAAC